GUGGCUGGGAAUGGACCCCGAUGCGACCCUUGUCAAAUUGGGACAGGGGUGGGGUGUUUCUUUGCAAGAGGGGAGAGGAUAUAUGAAGCAAGGGAAAGUGGGGGCAUUUUUGAAGAGAGGGAUCGGAUCCUGGAAGAUCGGAAAAGGGGACAACGAUGCUCAGCUGAAGUUGUAUAUCACUGCAAUGCUAGAAAUAUGGAGAUCUAAGAAAUAUGUAACAGCGUAUCAGAAUUCUUAUUUGGGGAGAACAGUGCCCUCAUUUCAUAUGCCUCCCUAUAGAGAUGGAUGUGUACCACAAAGGAUCAUCAUCUUACUCCUCGGAUACAAACAUUUGCACAAAAACUAGAAUUAUAAAACCUGUUUUUCUGGAGAGAAGUGGGUCUCGGGAUGUAUCAAGCUACAAACAAUCACCUCCAAAUAUUCCUUACUUAAGAAAACCCUACAAAAUGCAUGGGGUCAGCACAGAUCGACAGGCAACUUGAAGGCAUACACACACACACACACAGAGCCCAUUGGAUUUAUGCUAUUACUGCCUGAGGCAUAACAACAAGAGCAGUGGAUGGUAUGGAAGUGUUUAUCUGCCUCGCGUACUCUCCCUCCCCAUCUCACAAACGUACAAACAGAUUACAGGCAAUCUGACAAUUUGCCUCGGGCUUAGAUACCACAAUCUCUGCCCACGGCAGCUGGCAGGACCAAGGGGAUCGGUCGGCAGGGGCAAGGGAGGGGUCAGUUUGUUAUACCCGUUGGCCUUUGAAAGCAUCACCAGUCACGAGAAGGAGGCCGCAUGCAAGUAUAGACAGUCAUCAUCCGUUUUCGCUGGACAAACUACACGGUGGACAUAAGCAGCCUAGAACCAAACACAAUCCAUCCUUCUGCUGUACAUCCACCUAUCCUCCCGAAAGUUUCAUCACCCAAGAUGCAUCCAGACUGUAGAAUUAAUGCAGUCAGACAUCACCUAAACCGACAUGGCUUUAAUGCUAUGCAAUCUUAGGAGUUGUAGUUUGGUGAGGCAACAGCACACUUUGACAGAGAAGGUGGAAGGCCUUGUGAAUAUGCAGGUUCCAUGAUUCCAUAGCAUUGAGCCACGAAAGAGACAAGAUUGCUUCUGAGCAUAAGCUAGCUACACUCCCUUUCACCUGGGAUCAGAAGGAAGGGCUUUUGUAUCAGAGACAAGAAUGCCCCUGAGCAUAUGCAGAGCACUGUCUUCUCAGCAGCACUGACUAGCUACACUCCCUUCCCAUCUGGGAUCAGGAGGAAAGGGUCUCAAAUCAAGGCGAGAAUGCCUCUGAGCAUAUGCAGAGCACUGUUUUCUCAGCAGCACUGACUAGCUGCACUCCCUUCAUACCUGGGAUUAGGAGGAAAGGGUUUCAAAUCAAUACAAGAAUGCCUCUGAGCAAAUGCAGAGCACUAACCUCUCAGCAACACUGACUAAGUAAAUUCUCUUCAUAUCUGGGACCAAGAGGAAAGGAUUUCAACAAGACAAGAAUGCCUCUGAGAAUAUGCAGAGCUGACCUUUCAGCAGCUCUGACUAGGUACACUCCCUUCCCAUUUGUCAAGGAAUUUCAAGUCAAAGACAAGAAUGCCUUGAGCAUGUGCAGAAUGUUUUCCCCUCAGAAGUAUGAGCUAGCUACAUACCCUCUCCUCUCAAUCAAAGAGGCAGGGGUUUCAUAUCAGAGCAUGUCCAGAGCAAUUUCCACUCAGACGCAUUGACUAACUACAUCUUCCCAUAUCCGAAGUCAGGAAUCAUAGAAUCAUAGAAUAGUAGAGUUGGAAGAGACCUCAUGGGCCAUCCAGUCCAACCCCCUGCUAAGAAGCAGGAAAUCGCAUUCAAAGCACCCCCAACAGAUGGCCAUCCAGCAUCUGCUUAAAAGCUUCCAAAGAAAGAGCCUCCACCACACUCUGGGGGAGAGAGUUCCACUGCCAAACAGCCCUCACAGUGAGGAAUUUCUUCCUGAUGUUCAGGUGGAAUCUCCUUUCCUGUAGUUUGAAGCCAUUGUUCCGUGUCCUAGUCUCCAGGGCAGCAGAAAACAAGCUUGCUCCCUCCUCCCUAUGGCUUCCCCUCACAUAUUUGUACAUGGCUAUCAUGUCUCCUCUCAGCCUUCUCUUCUGCAGGCUAAAUAUGCCCAGUUCUUUAAGCUGCUCCUCAUAGGGCUUGUUCUCCAGACCCUUGAUCAUUUUAGUCGCCCUCCUUUGGACGCUUUCCAGCUUGUCAACAUCUCCCUUCAAUUGCGGUGCCCAGAAUUGGACACAGUAUUCCAGGUGUGGUCUGACCAAGGCAGAAUAGAGGGGUAGAUGGGAAUCCAAAUCAUACAAGAUUCUACUGAGCAUUUGCAGAGUGCUUUCCCCUCAGCAGUACUGGCUAGAUACACCCUCUCCCAUCUGGGGUCACAAGAAAGGGCUUCCAGAUAAUACAAGAAUGCCUCUGAGCAUGUGCAGGUAACUUUCCCCUCAGCAGCAUGCUCCUUCCCUUCUGGAAUCAGAAGAAAGGGCUUUCAAAUCACAAACAAGGAUGCUCCAAAGCAUGUGCAGAAUGCCUCCCACUCAUCAGCACCGACUAGCUACACUCCCUCCUGCCUGGAAUCAGGAGGAAGGGGUUUCAAAUCAGAGGCAGGGCUCUGCAGAUCGGUGGAGAGACAAGAAGGCUACAAACACACAUAAACAGGAUCAGCGGCAGCUGUGAGGCUCAGCCUGACCUACAUAUCAGCCGGGAGAGGAUGGCCUGGUCGCGGGCGCUGCUGCGAGGGGAUGGGAUGCUGCUACAGACUGCCGCCCCCUCACCUGCCAGAGGGAGGCUGUUCGCGGAUCCAGCCUGGGGUUCCCUACUGCCAAGGGUGCAGCUACACUACAGAAUUAAUGCAGUCUGACACCACUCUGAGUGCCACGGCUCAGUGCUAAGGAAGCACCAGCAUGCUUUGGUAGAGAAGGCUAAAGACCUUGUAAAAUUGCAACUACCAUGAUUGCAUAGCAUUGAGCCAUGGUGUGAAAGUGCAUCAAUUCUACAGCGUAUCUGCACCUUCAGAAACCUAGCAUGGAAAAUGAUGCUUAAAAACCCACUUCCACCCUGGUAAUGUAGCUAAAUAGGAGAAUUGCCCCCUCAAAUAUGAAUUUUCUCCCAAACUCAUAACUUUCUAGCAGUACAAAGAGUAGAACAUGGGGUACAUCUAUACCAGGCAUGGGCAAACUUUGGCCCUCCAGGUGUUUUGGACUUCAACUCCCACAAUUCCUAACAGCCGGGAGUGGAAUUCCAACAGUGGGAGUUGAAGUCCAAAACACCUGGAGGGCCAAAGUUUGCCCAUGCCUGAUCUACACUGAGUGCAGUUUGAUGCGACUUUAACUGUCAUUUAUUUAUUACAAUAUUUAUAUCCCACCCUUCUCACUUUAACUGUCAUGGCUCAAUGCUGCGGAAUCAUGAGAUUUGUAGUUUGGUGGGACACUAACACCCUGUGCUGGUUGAACUGCUGACCUGAAGGUUGGGUUGCUGACCUGAAAGUUGGAAGUUCGAAUCCACGAGAUGUGGUGAGCUCCCAUCUAUCAGCUCUAGCUUUUGGGGACAUGAGAGAAGCCUCCCAGCAGGAUAGUAACACAUCUGGGCAUCCCCUUGGCAACAUCUCUGUAGAUAGCCAAUUCUCUCACACCAGAAGUGACUUGCAGUAUGUUCUCAAGUUGCUUCUGACACGAUAAAAAAAAAACCUCAACACUCUUUACAGAGAUGGCUAAAGCCCUUUUGAAACUACAACUCCCAUGAUUCCACAGCAUUGAGCCACAAUGGUAUCUAACUUAUUCAAUUCUACAGUGAAGCUGCACUCAGACAGAGAUAAAUGAGUGGGUGGUUAGAUGGGCAAAGCAGUGAAUAGAAGGUAAAUGCAUGCAUACACACAAGGCUAUUAUUAAUAACUUUAAAAGGCCUGGAUGUGGGAAAAAAUUUGGACAUAAAACCCCAGGACAGAAUAGGAGAGAGAUAAACUAUGUCUCUUUCCUCUCUCUUCCCUAAACUGGCUGAACACAUAGCUCCCCUGACACACAUUAAUCCGGCUAAUUUGAUCUGUUUGUUUUAAAAAGCACUUUCAAUAUUUGAAUCCCCUAAUCCCAAAGCCAAAUCUCUUGGCUGGUGUGAAGCAACCCCAUUUCAUUGUCGUCAAUAGGGCCCGAUCCCUGUGUAGUGAAAAUCACAACACCGUGGGGCUUGCAUAAUCAAAGACGGAACAGAGUGGUUGGGGUGUGUGUGUGUCUUUUGUACACUUAAAGUUUCCCAUGCAUCGCACCCUUAAUGUCCAUUUAGUGCCGGUUCAUUCAAGGACAGAAAACACCCAGUUUGUGCCCCAGUUACUGGAGGAUUCAAACAUCCCUUUUGGUGGCAGCGCUGUGUUCUCCCAGCCAUGAAAACGAUUUAGUCAAUGCUGGCAGUCCCAAGUAUCUGUGAUAAACUGUCAAUGGAAAAGAGUUGCGGAUCCAAAGUCCCCAUUUGUCUGUGUUUGGAACAGAACGAUCUCUCCUGAGAAACAUCUAUAAUGCCUUUUUGCAUUCUGCAGUCUGCACAUUUACAUGCGUUUCUGUUGUGAACCUUUGCAACACACCUGGAAAUUUGCACUGUGCCACAUAGCCAAGGAUUUUUAUACACAAUUUCCUAACCUGUAGUGACACAAGGAGUGCAGGGUGGAACAAUAGAGAACACUUAUGAAACUAGGGGAAGUGAAUGGAAGAUGUGAAAUAUCAGAAAUCUACACUUUACACCGGAGCACUUUGUUGUAGGUUUGCCCUCAGAUGCAUCUGCACUGUAGAAUUAAUGCAGUUUGACAUCACUUGAACAGCCAUGGCUCAGUGCUAUGGAAUCAUGGGUUCUGUAGUUUGGUGAGGCACCAGUAUUCUUUGGCAGAGAAGGCUAAAGGAUUUGCAAAACUACAAUUUCCAUAGCCAUGGCAGUUCAAGUGAUGUCAAACUGCAUUAAUUCCACAGUGCAGAUGCACCUGAUGGUAAACCUGCAACAAAGUGCUUCAGUAUAAAGUGUGGAAGCUGCUGAUAUUCCACACACUCUAUUCACUUUCAGUUAUUUUAUAAGGCAGUAUUAUUCCAUCCUUAUCAGGAUUCUUUUAUUUUUGGAACCCUCCUUAUAGUUCUCUUCUGCUCGUCCAAUAUUAAUGCUUCUGUUGAAGUAUUAAUAGUACCACAACUGUGUGUGUGUGUGAAUAGUAAUGUUUGGGCACAGAGUUCCAGGAACCAGGCAUGUGCUGUGGCACAGGCUGGUGAGAGGCCAGCUGCAACAAAUCACUCUGACCAAGAGGUCAUGAGUUCGAGGCCAGCUCGGAGCCUGCAUUUGUCUCUGUCUCUGUUCUAUGUUAAGGCAUUGAAUGUUUGCCUUAUACUUGUGCAGUGUGAUCCACCCUGAGUCCCCUUCGGUGUGAGAAGGGCAGAAUCUAAAUACUGUAAAUAAAUAAAUAAAUAAAUGUGUCUACACUGUAGAAUUAAUGCACUUUGACACCGUUUUAACUGCCAUGGCUCAAUGCUAUAGAAUCAUGGGGUUUGUAGUUUUGCAAGAUCUUAAGCCUUCUCUGCCAAAGAAUGCUGGGGCCUCACCAUACUAAACCUUCCAGAAUUGCAUAACAUUGAGACAUGACAAUUAAGCCAGUGCUGAAUUGCAUUGUUUCCACAGUGUGGAUGCACUCUUCGUCCAUCCAAGCUACAGUCAGGAAGUCUUUGAAAGCCUUGGAGUAUGUCAAAUGCUCAUUGGACCCCCAGUGUAGACUCCCUCCAAUAUUGGCUGAUGGUUUUCAUGUCAAUGCAAUAGCAACUCAUGUCCAGGUUUUCGUCCAGACCUUAAAGGGGCUGUCUGCAAAGCUUAACAGGUUCAGCACCUUGGAUAGCUUCUCUAAAGUUCACAAUGUGGAUUCAUAGACCAAUUGAUAGGUAAGCUUCCAUCCAUUGUCCUUUUCCUUUUUUGCAUCCUUUCUCUAAAGCAGGGGCCCUCAAACCUUUUAAGUGGAGGGCUGGCUCAUGGUCCCUCAGACUGUUGGAAGACUGGACUAUGAUGAAAUAGUCCAAAAUUAGGAUGGUUGUUGUUGUGUGCCUUCAUUUCAGACUUAGGUCAACCCUAAGUCUAACAUUUAGGACAGGGAGGGCCACAUCCAGCCCACGGGCCUUAGUUUGGGGACCCUUGUUCUAAAGGAUCUUUGUACUUAUGCAAAACUGGGGAGUUUCUCCAUUCUUACUACUAACUUGCUAUCCCUGGUAGCACCAACUUCUUGAUGCCAUUCACAGCCUGAAUCCUAGAGAAAAGAAAUUGUGGUGGCACUUAUCAGUAUGAGGACAGCCAUUUUAGACAGUGCAAGGAGGUUUUAGAUCAAGCAGAAUAUGUACAUACUAGGCAAUGAAAGUAUCCCUACAGUCAUAAUCAAUAUUCAGAAUAAAAACAGCAUGAAAUGCA